AAAGAAAGUAAGCAAGGGCGCAUGGCGGAUGCCUUGGCUCUCGGAGGCGAUGAAGGACGUGAUAAGCUGCGAUAAGCUUCGGGCAGGUGCAAAUAACCUUUGAUCCGAAGAUUUCCGAAUGGGACAACCCGUCAUUCUGAAGGAAUGACAUCUUGCAUAGCAAGAGGCUAACGCAGGGAACUGAAACAUCUUAGUACCUGUAGGAAAAGAAAAUAAUAAUGAUUCCCCUAGUAGUGGCGAGCGAACGGGGAUUAGCCCAAACCAAUGUUGUUACGGCAAUAUUGGGGUUGUAGGACCACGAUGUCGCAAGAAGUUUAGUGAGAAGAACCCUUUGGAAAAUGGGACCAUAGACGGUGAUAGUCCGGUAUUCGAAGCUAAAUGAAGCGUAGUGGUAUCC
rnacentral:rRNA from 1 species